UCACGGCAUAUCAAUCACUUGCAG
rnacentral:miRNA from 1 species